rnacentral:lncRNA from 1 species
UGAGAGCUAAGAAUAGUGGGGAUGAGGGGGUGGGUAAGGCAUGCAAAGCAAUUUGGAGAAGCAAGGAAAGAAGCAGACACUAAGGGAGAAUUUUAAAGACUUCAAAGAGCCUGAGUGGACUACCACAUCCCUGUAGCUGGCAGUCCUAUAGCUGGCGGUCCUACUUGUCCAUUACAAACAUUGGCUCCUCUCUGAAAAGGUCACCCUGCUUUUCAGACAGAAUUUGUGACUCUCGGCAGCUGGGAAUACUUUGGAACUGAAGAGAACCUAUUAGGAGAGAGAAAAAACAGAGUCAUUAUUAAGCCAAAAAAAAAAAUGGAGAAAAGAUUCACCUCUAAAUUUUAUUUAAUGACAACAAAAACACACAACAUUUCCCUUUGAUUCAUAACGUUAAUAAAUUCUACUUAUCAUUUGCAAUAAUUCCAAGGUGUUCUAAAGACACCUUUAUAUUAGAAAAGAGUU